UGUGGGAGGGGGCUUGCCCCCGAUGGCAGUGUGUCAGGAUCAUAUAUUCCACUGAUACACCGCUAUCGGGGGCAAGCCCCCUCCCACA
rnacentral:misc_RNA from 1 species